rnacentral:rRNA from 1 species
CAGCACCUCAAGUGGUCAGGAUGAUUAUUGGGCCUAAAGCAUCCGUAGCCUGCUUUGUUAGUUUUCGGUUAAAUCCAUACGCUCAACGUACAGGCUGCCGGGAAUACUGCAGCGCUAGGGAGUGGGAGAGGUAGACGGUACUCGGUAGGAGGGGGUAAAAUCCUUUGAUCUAUUGAUGACCACCUGUGGCGAAGGCGGUCUACCAGAACACGUCCGACGGUGAGGGAUGAAAGCUGGGGGAGCAAACCGGAUUAGAGACCCGAGUAGUCC